CUAAAAAAUCCCAAACCUAUAUAUAAAAUAAAUAAAUAAAUAAUAAAAAAUCACAGUCCAAUUACAGAAACCAAUAGCCCAAACUAGCAACCCCCAACCAGUUACAUAACCCCAGCCCAACAACUAAACCUAACCCACACUUACAAGGCCCGAUAGGCCCAAAAUACUAAAAUUAGACAGAGACCUAGCUGUCUGCUUGCGCCGCAGCAGUCCGAGCCCCCCAGCGCCUCCGUCCACGCCAACCCUGGCCUCCGUACCGUCAAGCACAGCCUCCGUACGCCAACACAGUCCCGUACCCGAGCGCCACGCACCUGCACCUGCAAAGAAAUGGACAAAACGACAACAGACCCAACAACAAAUAGAAAGAAAGAAAAAAAAAACAUUGUAUUUUUUAUUAGCAUUUGGCUAUAAAGCCUACGGAUUCUGAUUGUAAAGGGGUUCCCCUUUUGAAAAUAUACAGAAAACAUAUGCAAUAGCAAAACAAAAAGGCAAUAGACGAAAUAAGGUGAUUUUCCCUUCGUUUUUUUUAAACUCUCUGCUCUUCCUUUUUUUUUUAUCUACUCGAGUCCUUUGUUAUUUUAUCAUCAGAAAAAAGAAAGUGAAGGAACUCACCUGCGUUCCGAGGCCUUCGAGUCCUCGCUGGUUUCGCCACCAUCGAAACACAGUGGUGAUCUGGGAAUGGUAAGCAAGACCUACGAAUCUCUUUGGUUCCACGAAGCCUUGAUCGACCGUUCUAGAGGUUGAAAGGAGGGGCAGAGGAACGGACGUGGGUAACCAUCGGUCAGCCGAAUGUUGGAGGGAGGAGUUUUGACCCUUUUCUUUUUGUUUUCUUCAAAAUAAGCGGCUGAGCAUUUUCCUAGGCUAGUUUAGGCUCUUAUGUGGGGGUAUUGGGUGAAGACGUUUGGGCCAAUGUCAAUGGUCUUAAAACAACACCCUUUGGAGCAACCCUAUACCCAAUAAUCUGGCCCAUACACACUCAAGGUCUGCAUAUCUGGUCGUGGAUGGGGUAUUUCCAACACAGUCCUCCUCCCUUCGUGCUAUUUUCAAAUCAGCCCAUGCUCUUACCUUGUUUGUUUUAAUUUGCCCCUGUAACUUGCAUCCGUUUGCAAUCUGACCCACUCCUAAACACAACGUUUUGGGGAUCUGGUAUUUUGCCAGCUUUAGUCCCUAGAUGUUUUUGUGCGUUGGGUGUUGGUCUUCUUAUUAUUAUUGUCUUAUUUUCUACUUACCUCAUGUAUUCUAGUUUAAUUUUAAUCGAGUCCUUUUAUUUUAUCUCCUUUUUAUUUUAUUUUAUUUUAUUUUAUUUUUACAUUUUUAAUUAAUCUUGGUAAUUACUUCUCCGUUCUCGUAAAUUCUUUUUUUGUGUAAUAUUAUUAUCAUGUUUCGCACUCUUUAAAUAUUUAUUUCCUUUAUACUAUUAUACAUACACAUAUGUUAUAACAAAGUUAAUGUAUUUGCAUGUAUGUAAUGAUGCUUGACUCUAUUCAUGUAUUUUGGUGUAUAUUUUUUUUACUAUUUUAACACGUUUUGUACAUAUAUUUUGCGUAAAGUUUAAAUUAUUUUUAUACUCAUUUAUAUUAGUACACAUAUUCUAUAUAUUUCUAAAUCUAUACGUUUAUAUAUACACUCUCUUUACACAAAAGCAUGUUUUUUUAUCUAUUGUUAAUUUAUUAUAAAAUUAAUUUAGCUCUAUGAAUAUUAUCUCUUUUAUGUAGUUUUACAUGUAAUUAUUUUCAAAAGUUAUAUAUACAUACAUAUAUAUAUUGAUAUCAUUACUUUAAUAGGUUUUCCUACUUACAACUUUUUUGCUAUAUGAGUUAUCAAGUAUUUUCUUUAUGCAUGUAUAUGGAAGAAUUUUAGAAACUUUUUUUGUAAUUAUUAUUUUUGGAUGUUCCUUUGUAUUAAACCACUUUGUGUUUUAUAUAGUCCCUUAUUUAAACGUUUUGAUAUAAACGCAUGUAUAUACUUUUUAGACUAAGUUAAAGUUUUUUAUUAAUCUAAUGAUUAUUUUUAUAGCUAUCUAUAUAUACAUACGUUUUAUGAACAUACUUUGUGUACUAUAUUUUGCCAUAUGUCUUCAUUAUUCCUUUUUAUAUUAGACAUAUUAUUCAAGAUCGUCAUGUAGUUUGUCAACUUUAAAAUACGUUUGUGUUUUUAAAAAAUUUUUACAUGCAAUUCGAUUCAAACUUUUAUUCUAUAAUAUCUAUUCCAAAAAUCAUAUAGCUAUCCUUAGUUUUUGUGCAAGUUUGUCAACCUAUAUAUAUGGGUCCAUUUAUUCGUUAUUAAUUCAAAACCGUUUUAUAGCACAUUGGCUUCUAAUUGUUAUGUUGUUUUUAUAUCUUGCAUUGGUUAUCCUAUAUCACGCUAUGUACAUUAUCGUGGCAUAUUAUUGCAUGUAUUGUUUUGCUUGUGUGAUUGUUAUCAUUUUCGUCAUUGUAUUAAUCAUUUUAUUCCCCAUGCAUUAUUGUAAUUGUAUUACUUUUUAGAUUAGUCCAGCUUAAUUAUUAGCUUAUUAGUGGACCAUGUCUCGUACACACCCUUUAUCCUAUAUCAUCAUUUCUCACUUAGUUUGCGAAAUAUGGUUCUUUUUAUAAAAUUCAAACUUCUUACGAUUAACGUCAUCUUAUUUCAAAUCGAAUUAAUAUGUUUUUAAGUAUUCAUCCAAAAGUUCUUCAAAACGAAGACGAGAUUCGAUGUUUGGCAAUUCACGGAAUCGUGCCCUAACGUGUUGGGUUGCAAUUUCGCGUUUGCUCAAAAUAAUAGAAUAUCACUUCGAAAUUUCACUCGCGUCUUUUAAAAUUCUUCAAAACGAAGACAAGAUUCGAUAUUUAGCAAUUCGCGGAAUCAUGCCCUAACGUGUUAGGUUGCAAUUUCGUGUUUGCUCAAAAUAAUCGAGUAUCCCUUCAAAAUUUCAUUCAUAUCUUCUAAAAAUUAUUUAAAACGAAGGCAAUAUUUGGCGUUUGACAAUUCAAAAAUCAUGCCCUAUCGUGCUGGGUUGUGAUUUCUCGUUUGCUCAAAACGAUCGAACAUUCCUUUAUAUUUUCAUUCAUGUUUAUAAAAAAUUUACUUAACAACGAAGACGAUGUUCAAUGUUUGGUGAUUUGAGAAUCGUGCCCUAUCAUGCUGGGUUGCGCUUUUUCAUUGGUUCGAAACAAUUGAACAUCCUUACAGAAUUUCACUCGCAUUUUCUAAAAUCCUUCAAAAUGAAGGCGAUGUUCAAUGUUUGGCGAUUUGAGAAUCAAGCCCCAUCGUGCUGGGUUGUGCUUUUUCAUUUGCCCAAAAUAAUCGAUUAUCUCCUCGAAAUUUUCACACGUAUUUUAUAAAGUAAGGCAAUGGUCAAUAUUUGGAAAUUCGAAGAAUUGUACCCUACUGUGCUGGGUUUCGAGUUUUCGUUGGAUUAAAUAGUUGAGCAUCCUUCUGUAAUUCUCAAAUUAUAUACUUUCGAACAUCGAAACAAGAAAUUUUGGCAACCAACUCGGAUUACUCAAACGUUAUAAAAGGAACCCCAUUUCAAAAAAACUUUUAAUUUAGACAUAAGGACAGUAUUUAAUCGAUUUGAUACCAAUUUUGGGCGUAGUGAGGGUGCUAAUCCUUCCUCAUGCGUAACCGACUCCCGAACCCUUUUUCUCAAAAGUUCGUAGACCAAAAUCGCUGUUUUAAUAAACCAAAAAUGUUUUAUUGAACUAACCUCAUUCUUAGGUGAUCCGGUCACACCAAAAAGAUCAGUGGCGACUCCAUAUUUCUAUUUUCCAAAAAGUCGAUUUCCCUCCUUUUUUUCUAAUUUAAUUUUUUUUAAAUCGAGGGAUGGUUUCGACAGCUUGGUGACUCCGCUGGGGAGUGAACUUGAGUCCAGCCAUAAAAAUCGAUUAUUUGCUGUCCUUUUGUCAAAAAUUAAAAAUCUGUUUUAGAAAUCAUGUAUCUUUCGAUUGCAUUUGAUUGUAUGUUUGUUUUGGUGCGGGUAUUGUAGAAUAGCACUGCAUUUUAUUGCAUGACUACUGUGGUCACACCUUCUAAGUGGGAGUAAGAAGCUACGCUUUCGUGAGGUUUUCACCUCCGCAUGGGCUAGUGGAUUGCUGCCGGGGUACAUCCGUACCUAUGAUUUCGUGAGAUUUUCAUCUUCCCAUGGUCAUAGGGAAAUGUAUCCCCCUGAACCAAACUUGAUCUAUAUGAGCCUAUAAUGGGUGAGGAUUGAGGAAUCUACUGGUUCGGGUACCUCUUUUCCUAGAACUAAACCACAUAUAGUGAACCUUAGGAGCUAUCCUUGGGUGAAGCUGCGUCGAGCCUUAGUACUUACCCGUAUAUGCGUUAUAAUUAUCGUUUAUGUGCUUGCACUCUAUUUUUAUUAUUUGAUACUAACCGGUGUUUUAUUUUGAUUGUCUUUUUGCAUGACAUUGCAUACUAAAGGAGGCGUUAAUCCAUAUUCAAUUACUAAGUUAGAAAAUUUGACAUGGGGAAUGAAUUUUUUAAUAAAGUCGAGGAUAAUGCGGCCGUUCGUGCAUGGUCAGAGAGGCUACAAUCUGAGAGAAGGGAUAGCUUGGCAGAAGGGCAUGUGUCGGAGCUGCAGGAUUUCACUCGCGUCAAUGUAGUACAGAAUGAGCUGCAAGAGUUGAGAGACAUUUGGGCUAGUUGGGAUGAAAGGAUCAAGCAGUUGUUUUACCAAAGCUAUGGUGACAUAUCCUACCUGCUAGAUAUUAGAGUGGAUAAGCAUUUGUUCCAAGCCUUGGUACAGUUUUGGAAUUCUGCGUACAAGUGUUUCACUUUUGGAGAAGUGGAUUUGGUACCUACCAUAGAGGAAUACACUAUGCUGCUUAGAUGUCCAAAUAUUUAGGUCCGGAAGACUUAUGCCCGGGUUUUUAGUAAUCAAGCUUUCGCGAAGAAACUGAUGAGCAUUUCUGGGAUGAGCGAGCCUUGGGUCACUGCUCAGAUUCAACAAAAAGGAGAUAGCAAAUGUGUCCCUUGGGAGAAUUUGCGAGAUUUGAUCUUGACUCAUCCAGAAGAAAGAAAGAGGGUCGAUAUAUUUACCUUAAGCAUCUACGGAUUAGUGAUCUUUCCUAAGACUUUGAAGCAUGUGGACAAGGUGGUCAUUGACUUGUUUGAUCGUCUUGAAAAGGGAAUCACACCGGUACCAGCAAAUUUGGUAGAAACGUUCAGAUCUUUGAGCUCAUGUCGGAAGACGGGCUAGGGGCGAUUUAUUGAAUGUGCUCAACUAUUGAUGGUAUGGUUUCAUGGGCACUUUUGGAAGGUAGACAAGGUUUCCUAUCGAGUCUUUUCUGAAGGUUAUUCCCCUUUGAAAGAAAAGACAGCUAUACAGAGGAGAGAGGAUAUCUCAGAGGAGAAGUGGAUGGAUAUUUUUCAGAACCUCAAGGAGGAGGAUAUCAAGUGGAGAGCUUAUUGGAUGGUUCCUGAUGGGAUCAUGUACCGAUAUGGUAACUUUGAUUGGGUGCCAUUGUUAAGAAUCUGGGGAGCUAUCGGGUAUACUCCGUUGAUAGCCUUGAGGCAAUACAAGUCGAGAUAGUUUGUACCCACGACCUAUGGACUUGCUCAGAGUGAAUUCUCGUUUAAAGGUUCUCACUAUAAGAAGAGAGUUCGGGAGUUAUCGGAUGCUUGGAAGCAAACUUGUUGGAUGAAGAGGUUAGCUGUCGGUUCUAUGGUAACGCCCGAGUACAGCGAGUGGUUUAAGAAGAGGAUUAAUGACAAUAUUCCUAAGCCAAGCUUGGAGAGUGCUCGACCUGUCGGGGAACAAUUACAAGUCGCCCCAUCAGAAUUGGAGAUUAUAAGAUAAGAUUUCGAGAAGAAGAGUUUGGAGCUUGGGAAGAAGAUCGAACAAUUGGAGGAAGAAAAGAUGCACCUAAGAUUAGAGGCUGAUGUCCAGAGGUCAGAGGCUGAGAAGUGGAGAAAGGAAAAAACUAAGGCUGAAGAAGAUCUAGACAGUUUGAAAAUGGACUACAAGAAGUUACGCCUAUCUAUGAAGACUGCGGGUUUAGGUAAGACUUCUGAACAAUGGCGCCAUGAAAUUCGAGAAGAAAAGGCCAAUACUGACUGGUGGGAAAGGAAAUUCCAAGAAGCUCAGGCACGAAACGAAGAUUUGGAGAAAAGUCUAUUGGAAAACAGAAAAUAAGCGAAGGGAAUUAAGGGCUAGAGUGGCAGAACUUGAGAAGUCUCUACAUCAGUACUGAAACCGCAACACCGCAUUAGAAUUGAGGGUGAGCUUGAGCAAGAUAGAAGAAAUGAAAGGAAGAAUAGAAGAGUUAGAGGCGUCUCUGCAAAAUUGUGAGAUGCAGAUCCAGUUUUUCGAGGCAAAUGAGGAUCGUUGGAAGGAGUAGCUUCACCAUGCGCAAGACCAAGUCAGAAACAGAGAUUACCUUAUAGGGGAGGCCAUAACCCAAAUUCGGAAAGUAGCGGACUACUUGCAAACUUUAGCUGUUCAGGCGGACACACUGAGCAUGAAAUAUGAGUUAGAGUCGGAGCGCGGACAAGAGUUGGCCUCAUUGCUUAGAAAAAUUAGGACUUUGAGCGUUAGAGCGAAAUUCUAUUUGUAACUUAACUUUAUGUAAAAGAUUUUAUUUUCAAGUAAAAUUUUCUAAGGGCAAUUAAAUCAAAAAUUGAUACCUCCUUUGCAUUCAUGCAUUUGUAUUACAUCAUAUCAUUAUGUAUUAAGGGCCAUAAGAGUUUUCUAAUUAAUUAAUUAAAAAUUAUUUCAGUAACCUGGAAACCAACGAAAACCAACCAACCACACACCCCUACGGUACAAGGAAAAAAUCAAUUGAUAAGAGACUCGAGAAAUUAGAGCAAAUGCAAAAAGACAUGCAAGAACAAAUGCAGUCUCAGAUGCAAGAGCAGCUAGCCAAGAUUCAGCGAGAGAUGAAAGAGCAAAUGAUGGAGUCCCAGAGGGAAAUGAUGAGUCAGUUAUCCCAAUUGCUGUUGGGAGGAACGAAUAAGGGAAAGGGCCCCAUGGACAAAGUUGAAGAAGCUAAUGAGGAUCCUCAAUACCCCCUGGCUUCACUCCGACACAUGUACCAGUGAAGCCCGAGAUUAAUCUACCAAAACCAUCUGUCACGAUCAUGCCCCAACAGGUUCAGGCCAGAGCUUUAAUACCGAUGAAUUUCUAAACCGACUCAGGCUCUAACUUUGUCAACAACCCGAACUAUCUGCCCGUUCCCGACCUAGAUGAAAUUGUUGAAGAAGAAAAAGCGAGGAUGGAUUCGCAAAAACAAUUGAAAGAACGGUGUAGAUGGCUUGAGGAGAAAUUCAAAGCCAUGAAGAGCGCGGAUCAUCAUCAAGGGAUUGACGCCAAAGACCUGAGUCUAGUCCCAGACUUAGUCCUUCCCCCUAAAUUUAAAAUGCCCGAAUUCGAGAAAUACAAUGGAACGAGCUAUCCUGAAGCCCACAUCACUAUGUUCUGCAGGUGAAUGACGGGAUAUGUUAACAAUGACCAGCUAUUAAUCCACUGUUUUCAAGAUAGUCUGGUCGGGGCGGCGUCUAAGUGGUACAACCAAUUAAGCCGAGCUAAAAUUAAUUCAUAGAAGGACCUGGCUCAGGCUUUUAUGAAGCAAUACAAUCACGUGGCGGACAUGACCCCUGAUAGAAUCACUCUCCAGAAUAUGGAGAAAAAGUCAAAUGAAAGCUUCAGGCAGUACGCACAAAGAUGGAGGGAGGUGGCCAUAGAAGUUCAGCCUUCACUUUUAAAAAAGGAGACAACGAUGCUCUUUAUAAAUACCUUGAAGGCUCCUUUUAUCACUCAUAUGUUGGGAAGCGCCACCAAGAGCUUCUCUGACAUAGUGAUGACGGGAGAAAUGAUCAAAAAUACUGUAAGAAGCGGCAAGAUAGAAUCGGAAGCAAGUGCUAGGAAGUCAGCCCCGAGGAAAAUAGACAAUGAAGUGAACAACACGAGUACAUUCAAUAAGGGGCAGCCCAAGUUAAUUACCGUAAAUCAACCCAAAACGGUGACUACCAAUCAACAAAGCUCUGUAAGGCAAGAAUCCAAUGCGAGGAAGAACACAGAAAGGCCACAAUACACCCCUAUACCCAUGACGUAUAGGGAGUUGUACCAGAACCUGUUCAACGCUCAUGUGGUCUCCCCUUUCUACCUGGAGCCACUGCAGCCCCCGUAUCCUAAAUGGUAUGAUACAAACGCCCAAUGUGAAUACCACGCAGGAAUUACCGGGCACUCAAUCAAAAAUUGUACUGCGUUCAAGAAAGUGGUCGAAAGACUCAUUAAGAUGGGAAUCGUGAGAUUUGAUGACCCAGCCACGCCCAAUGUAGCAGGAAACCCACUCCCCAAUCAUACCGACCAAGGAGUGAAUGGGAUAAGUGAAGGCUUGAACAGCCAAGUAUGAGGUGGCAGAAAUCAGGACCCCGUUGAGGCGGGUAUGGAAAGAGAUGGCCAAGAGAGGAUUGAUAGCAUUGGAUCCAAGGGAAGAACCCGAAGAAGAGAGAAACUACUGUGAGUUUCAUGACGAGGUGGGGCAUGAAACCCAAGAAUGUGUGGAAUUCAGGGCCCUCGUGCAGAACAUGAUAGAUAAUAAAGAAAUGGAAUUCUACGAAGAAGCUAAAAGCCCCAUAGAGGGAAAUGUAUGCGCAUCCGAGGGAGAAUCAAAGGCACAGAAUCAAACACCUAAUUAUCCCGUGGUGAUUAUUUUGAGACCCAAAAAUAAUAAAGCUGGAGUACAAAUGCCACCGAGGAUUAUAAUCCAAAAACCUGCAGUUUUCCCUUACAAAGACAACAAAAAGGUCUCAUGGAAUUAUGAUUGCAGUGUGACGAUGCCGGGAAAAGAGAGCCUGGUUGGCGCUUCAAGAGGGGAUCAAGAUAGAGGUUCCUAUACACGUAGCGAGAGGCGUUACAAUACGGUGAAUAAGGAGGAACAACCCACAAAAGGAAAAGCCCAGGUGGUCGAAGAAAUGAAGGGAAAAGUAACCAAACUUGUUAAUGAGCUAGUUAACGAAGAGGAGACCAAGGAGUUUUUAAAGUUCCUAAAGCAUAGCGAAUACAGUGUGGUGGAAUAGCUACGUAAACAACCAGCCCGCAUUUCAGUGCUGGCCUUGCUUCUGAGCUCAGAAGUCCAUCGUAGCGCGCUAAUGAAGGUCUUGAAUGAAACGUAUGUUGCCAAUGAUAUUUCCGUUAACAAGUUAGACUGCUUGGUUAACAACAUCAGUACCGAUAACUAUAUCUUCUUUAAUGACGAUGAGAUAUCUCCCGGGGGCAUGGGGUCAACUAAAGCUCUGUAUACCACCACACGCUAUAAAGGGUAUACGUUGCCAGGCGUACUGAUUGACAAUGGAUCGGCUCCUGCCGUUGACCACGCUAAACAGAUUACCUAUAGACAGCUCUCACAUGAAAGAGUGCCAGAGCAUCGUGAAGGCAUUCGAUGGCACGGAGAGAAAGGUGAUGGGCAGAAUCGAUGUACCUCUUUAGAUUGGGCCAAAUACAUAUGAGGUGGAUUUCCUCGUAAUGGACAUCAAGCCCUCAUACAAUUGCUUGUUGGGGAGGCCCUGGAUACAUUCAGCUGGGGCAGUGCCUUCCUCGUUGCAUCAAAAGUUGAAGCUAGUAUCGGAGGGGAGGUUGAUAACGAUCAAGGCUGAAGAAGAUAUUAUUGCAACUGUGAGCAAUAAUGCACCCUAUUUGGAGACAGAUGACGAAGCAAUCGAAUGCUCAUUUCGAUCUUUGGAAUUUGUUAACGCGACGUUCAUCGCCGAGGAAAGCAAAAUUCUGGUGCCAAAAUUGUCCAAAACCACGAGGAUGAGCCUCCAGUUGACGAUUGUAAAAGGGGCCCUACCCGGAAGGGGACUUGAGAGACACCUACAAGGAAGGAUCGAAACGCCAAUGCUGAAAGAAAAGAGAGACCGCUUCAGCUUAAGAUUUAAGCCGGAUGUGAAACAAAGGAGAAGGGAGUUGGAAAAGAAGUAAGAAAGAAGGAGAGCUCGAUUAACGGGGGAGGAAAUCAAGUGAGAACAAUGAUAUUCCCCUAUAUAUCGAACACAUUUGUGUUUGGGGGAAUCAUUCAUCCCGAGAGAGACACGCUAAUGACGGGAGCUAUAGAAGAAAGGCUGGAAAGCUUGGACGUCAACGUCAUGUAUGAAGAGGAGACUGGAAGAGAAAGUUUAUUGGACAUUGGCCCCUACACACCUGGAAGUGUUCUGGACAACUGGACUACGGAAGAGAUCCCUGUAGUUUUUAGAACGAAUUCAGAGUAAUGUCUAAAACACACUUAUUGUUCUAGGCCUAGGAGUGAAAAGGAUCUUUUGUGAAAUAGGCUGAUGUUUAAAAACGUUCCUUCAAUAAAAUGCACGGUUAUUAUCAUUUUUGAGCAAAUGUUAUCUCGUCCUUUCAAUUCCAUUCAUAACCAUACAAAUGAUUACUUUCGAAUUCUUUUAUUCUUGAAACAUUCUUCUAAAUAUUCUUUCAUUCGUCAUUCAUAAUCAUAUCAUGCAAACAAAUGUUUUGAAUUCUUUUGAUUCUUUGUAUCUGCCUUCGUCCUCACAACAGGUCCCCAGAUAUUAAUGAUACGAGUGACGCUGCUAGCGACUCAGAAUUUCCUUUCAAGCAAGAUGUGUGUAUGGAGGGUUCUCGGGAUUUUGAAGAUGACCAAGGCUAUAACCUAUCUCCUAAUUUGUUGAGGAUGGUAGAACAAGAGGAGAAACAAAUCCUACCUCACAAAGAAUCAGUUGAAAUUGUGAGCUUAGGAGAAGGACAAGAGGUGAAGAUCGGAA
rnacentral:lncRNA from 1 species